AGUGAACGCUGGCGGUAGGCCUAACACAUGCAAGUCGAACGGCAGCACAGUAAGAGCUUGCUCUUACGGGUGGCGAGUGGCGGACGGGUGAGGAAUACAUCGGAAUCUACUUUUUCGUGGGGGAUAACGUAGGGAAACUUACGCUAAGACCGCAUACGACCUACGGGUGAAAGCAGGGGAUCUUCGGACCUUGCGCGAUUGAAUGAGCCGAUGUCGGAUUAGCUAGUUGGCGGGGUAAAGGCCCACCAAGGCGACGAUCCGUAGCUGGUCUGAGAGGACGAUCAGCCACACUGGAACUGAGACACGGUCCAGACUCCUACGGGAGGCAGCAGUGGGGAAUAUUGGACAAUGGGCGCAAGCCUGAUCCAGCCAUACCGCGUGGGUGAAGAAGGCCUUCGGGUUGUAAAGCCCUUUUGUUGGGAAAGAAAAGCAGCAGGUUAAUACCCCGCUGUUCUGACGGUACCCAAAGAAUAAGCACCGGCUAACUUCGUG
rnacentral:rRNA from 1 species